GAUGAACGCUAGCUACAGGCUUAACACAUGCAAGUCGAGGGGAAACGACAUCGAAAGCUUGCUUUUGGUGGGCGUCGACCGGCGCACGGGUGAGUAACGCGUAUCCAACCUGCCCACCACUUGGGGAUAACCUUGCGAAAGUAAGACUAAUACCCAAUGAUAUCCCACGAAGGCAUCCGAAUGGGAUUAAAGAUUUAUCAGUGAUGGAUGGGGAUGCGUCUGAUUAGCUUGUUGGCGGGGUAACGGCCCACCAAGGCAACGAUCAGUAGGGGUUCUGAGAGGAAGGUCCCCCCACAUUGGAACUGAGACACGGUCCAAACUCCUACGGGAGGCAGCAGUGAGGAAUAUUGGUCAAUGGGCGAGAGCCUGAACCAGCCAAGUAGCGUGCAGGACGACGGCCCUAUGGUGUAAACUGCUUUAUAAGGGAAUAAAGUGAGUCUCGUGAGACUUUUUGCAUGUACCUUAUGAAUAAGGACCGGCUAAUUCCGUG
rnacentral:rRNA from 1 species